rnacentral:rRNA from 1 species
GCGACAGGCUUAACACAUGCAAGUCGAGGGGCAGCAUAAAAGUAGCAAUACGUUGGUAGGCGACCGGCGCACGGGUGAGUAACGCGUAUGCAACCUACCUAUCAGAGGGGAAUAACCCGGCGAAAGUCGGACUAAUACCGCAUAAAACAGGGGCACCGCAUGGUGAUAUUUGUUAAAGAAAUUCGCUGAUAGAUGGGCAUGCGUUCCAUUAGGUAGUUGGUGAGGUAACGGCUCACCAAGCCGACGAUGGAUAGGGGAACUGAGAGGUUGGUCCCCCACACUGGUACUGAGACACGGACCAGACUCCUACGGGAGGCAGCAGUGAGGAAUAUUGGUCAAUGGGCGGGAGCCUGAACCAGCCAAGUCGCGUGAAGGAAGAAGGAUCUAUGGUUCGUAAACUUCUUUUGCAGGGGAAUAAAGUGCAGGACGUGUCCUGUUUUGUAUGUACCCUGAGAAUAAGGAUCGGCUAACUCCGUGCCAGCCGCGGC